rnacentral:rRNA from 1 species
CGCCUACGGGGGGCAGCAGUGAGGAAUAUUGGUCAAUGGACGCAAGUCUGAACCAGCCAUGCCGCGUGCAGGAAGAAGGUGCUAUGCAUUGUAAACUGCUUUUAUACGGGGGUAAUUACAGAUACGUGUAUCUGGAUGAAAGUACCGUAUGAAUAAGGAUCGGCUAACUCCGUGCCAGCAGCCGCGGUAAUACGGAGGAUGCGAGCGUUAUCCGGAUUUAUUGGGUUUAAAGGGUGCGUAGGCGGAAUGCCAAGUCAGCGGUAAAAUCGCGGGGCUCAACCUCGCUCCGCCGUUGAAACUGGCGU